rnacentral:lncRNA from 1 species
UGCGUAUAUACAUAUCAAUGUACAUAUACGUUAAUAACUGUAUAAACUGAUAACAAAUGUCUAUAUAACAAUAUAACUCACUGUAUAUAUAAAUGUAUAUAUGAACUUAUCAAUGCAUAAAGGUGCAUAUGCGUGCGCAUAUUAAGGCAUAUAUAACUGAUAGUAAGUAUAUAUACAUUAAUGUACAAGACCAUAUAUAUACUUAUAACCAACUUGUAUAGUUUUUAGCGUAUAUGUAUACUGAUUUAUAUACAACACACACACACAUAUAUAUACUAUAUACAUAUAUGUGUUGUGUAUGGACUGAUGUGUAUAUAUACGACAUGUUUAUGCUUGUAUGCAUACACUUGUUUGAUAUACAUUGUAUAUACACACUAAUAUGUGUACAUAGAUGCACCCUUACGCAUUGAUAAAUGUAUAUAUACUGUAUAUGUCUGUAUCUAUACACUAACACAUGCAUUCUAUGUGUACUGAUAUAUAUCACUAUGUAGAUACUUAUUAGCAAUUUACAAUAUAUAUACAAUGUUUAUAUAUACGAUAUGCAUAUACUGAUAUAUUUAUGUACCUUGAUAUGGGGACACACAUACACUCUUAUGUAUUGAAAAAUUCAUACGUACAUUUCUAUAUACACUGAUAUAUAUGACCAUAUAGACACUUAUUAUCAGUUUAUACAGUUAUUAAAGUAUAUGUACACUCACUUAUUAUCAGUUUAUACAGUUAUUAAAGUAUAUGUACACUGAUAUGUAUAUACGCACACUCAUAUGCAUAUGUAUAAUGUGUUUACAUAUAUACUAAUAUAUAAGACCAUGUGCAUACUUAUUAU